AAAUUGAAGAGUUUGAUCAUGGCUCAGAUUGAACGCUGGCGGCAGGCCUAACACAUGCAAGUCGAGCGGUAGCACAGAGAGCUUGCUCUCGGGUGACGAGCGGCGGACGGGUGAGUAAUGUCUGGGAAACUGCCUGAUGGAGGGGGAUAACUACUGGAAACGGUAGCUAAUACCGCAUAACGUCGCAAGACCAAAGUGGGGGACCUUCGGGCCUCAUGCCAUCAGAUGUGCCCAGAUGGGAUUAGCUAGUAGGUGGGGUAACGGCUCACCUAGGCGACGAUCCCUAGCUGGUCUGAGAGGAUGACCAGCCACACUGGAACUGAGACACGGUCCAGACUCCUACGGGAGGCAGCAGUGGGGAAUAUUGCACAAUGGGCGCAAGCCUGAUGCAGCCAUGCCGCGUGUGUGAAGAAGGCCUUCGGGUUGUAAAGCACUUUCAGCGGGGAGGAAGGCGAUAAGGUUAAUAACCUUGUCGAUUGACGUUACCCGCAGAAGAAGCACCGGCUAACUCCGUGCCAGCAGCCGCGGUAAUACGGAGGGUGCAAGCGUUAAUCGGAAUUACUGGGCGUAAAGCGCACGCAGGCGGUCUGUCAAGUCGGAUGUGAAAUCCCCGGGCUUAACCUGGGAACUGCAUUCGAAACUGGCAGGCUAGAGUCUUGUAGAGGGGGGUAGAAUUCCAGGUGUAGCGGUGAAAUGCGUAGAGAUCUGGAGGAAUACCGGUGGCGAAGGCGGCCCCCUGGACAAAGACUGACGCUCAGGUGCGAAAGCGUGGGGAGCAAACAGGAUUAGAUACCCUGGUAGUCCACGCCGUAAACGAUGUCGAUUUGGAGGUUGUGCCCUUGAGGCGUGGCUUCCGGAGCUAACGCGUUAAAUCGACCGCCUGGGGAGUACGGCCGCAAGGUUAAAACUCAAAUGAAUUGACGGGGGCCCGCACAAGCGGUGGAGCAUGUGGUUUAAUUCGAUGCAACGCGAAGAACCUUACCUGGUCUUGACAUCCACAGAACUUUCCAGAGAUGGAUUGGUGCCUUCGGGAACUGUGAGACAGGUGCUGCAUGGCUGUCGUCAGCUCGUGUUGUGAAAUGUUGGGUUAAGUCCCGCAACGAGCGCAACCCUUAUCCUUUGUUGCCAGCGGUUAGGCCGGGAACUCAAAGGAGACUGCCAGUGAUAAACUGGAGGAAGGUGGGGAUGACGUCAAGUCAUCAUGGCCCUUACGACCAGGGCUACACACGUGCUACAAUGGCAUAUACAAAGAGAAGCGACCUCGCGAGAGCAAGCGGACCUCAUAAAGUAUGUCGUAGUCCGGAUUGGAGUCUGCAACUCGACUCCAUGAAGUCGGAAUCGCUAGUAAUCGUAGAUCAGAAUGCUACGGUGAAUACGUUCCCGGGCCUUGUACACACCGCCCGUCACACCAUGGGAGUGGGUUGCAAAAGAAGUAGGUAGCUUAACCUUCGGGAGGGCGCUUACCACUUUGUGAUUCAUGACUGGGGUGAAGUCGUAACAAGGUAACCGUAGGGGAACCUGCGGUUGGAUCACCUCCUUA
rnacentral:rRNA from 2 species